rnacentral:misc_RNA from 1 species
GUUUACUUGGAACUUUCCUUAGGGUGAGUGAGAUAGAAUGAUCUGCAUAGAAGAGCAUGAAAUGGCUGUCAUUAAAUAUUCAUGUCUUGUGAGAUUGUCAAAUAAUGAUUUACCGGAAUUAUAUAUAGCUUGUCUGAUAUGGUUACAAAUAGUUAUUUUAUAUGUAUGUUGGCUACCAAAUUUCUACGUGCAUUGAGCAAAUUUGUAUGAUACUUUCUUCAACAAGAUGAUGUUUUUUAGACUUAAAAGGAAAAUGGAGGAUAGGUCAAAAAUUAAAGCCAGAUGCAACAAGGUGUUUUGCAUUCUGUUUUGAAUGUCUGGGAAAGGCUCGUUGAUGUGGUGUGAAAGAUAGUUCAAUUUUUUCUUGGCAAAUGGGAGCUUUAAUGGCUGGAAUGUGAAAUUAAUCUUUAAAACAAACUGUGUCAUGCUUAGUUGAAUAGUUGGAUUUACGGGUACUUUCUUUUUGUGAAGCACAAGCACAGAACUUGUGUUAUUUUAACCCUGUGUUUUUACUUUUUCCAUCGUGUUUUCCAUAUCUUUAAUUUAAUGCUUUGUUAUUAUUUCCUGUCAGUGACUUGAAAGAGGUCUGGGUUGCAGUCCUUAACAUUACAGGUCCCUUAUCAAGUUGGUCACUUGCGGACAAUAUACUUCCAGCUCCUGAAGCAAUUGAUGG